ensembl:lncRNA
GGUGUCCAACGCUGCAUAUUCAUGAUGUGAAAUUAGGCAACACACGCCUAUCGCUACAGUAACCCACUCCAGGGACACAUCCGAGAACCUUUCAGGAUGCAUGUCAGGGGAAGCUGGAGACGACGCUUCUCGGACCCGGAGGAAGCGCGGACUUAGCGGGGACGAGCUGAGGCUGAGGGAAGGAGGGGAGCAGGGGUUUGAGGAGCCCGAGGCCGGCGCCGCCGAGUUCCUCCUUCGCAGGAGAUGGUGCCGGCGGAGGCGCUGCCGCCCGCGGCGCAGGUGGCACCUUGCGUCCCCCGAGAGCGGGCGGAGGCCGGGCUCUGCCGGGGCCAGGCAGCGCUGCAAGGGCGCUCGAAGGUGCACUGUGCCACCCUUGUCUGCAGCUCGAGUUUCAGCGGCGCGUGCUUUUCGCUCUGGGACUUCAGGGAGCAGGGUCGCAAAAGGGCCCCCGUCGUCCUGGUUGGCUCGCAGCAGCAACCUCGCCCCGCCCCCAGUCCCCCUAUCUCGGAGCCACCCUCCUGGGCCUACAGGCGCCGCGGGGCCAGGGACUGGGCGCGGAUCGAGGCGGGGAGGGACCUGGAAAAACCACCCAGAUUGCAUUGCAGUGGGUGAGGCAGCCCGGAGAGCCGGUUCUCCUGAGCCACCUCCCUGCGGGGCUUUUUCGGUGCGCUGUUCCCAGGUGCUCUAUCCUACCUGGGCCAGGGAGUGCCGCCUCGCAGGGACGCGGGACCCGCUGCGUGGCCCCGAGGAGCGGCCCCGAGCGCGCGCGGCGGCUGCCCGGAGGCCCAAGGCCCGGCGUGCGACUGUUGCUGCGAAUGGUUAGAACAGCUCAGGAAGUCGCGCCCCGCCGUCCUUUUUGGCGCCUGGUGUUCGGAUUAAUCAUUUGUAUAGCGCGUUUGGAUAAACUGAGAACUUUAUGAGCGCGUUUGCCAGGGAUUCUGCAGCGUCAUCCGUGUUAGAAUCGAAUCUCAGAGCUCCCCCUUUUCACAGAGGCUUGCCUUUUCUUUUUUAAGGAAGUCGGAUCCCUGGUGUCUGAUUUUUUUAAAUUUAAAGUUUAAUCUGCCUAACUAGGUUACACGGACAGGAUUUUUUUGUUUUAUUUUGUUUUCUAAUGUAUUCCCAGGGCUUGGAACAGAGCCAGAAAUAUACUAGGCAUUCAACAAAUAUUUGUUGAAUGAUUUUAGUGAGUAACACCCAACCAUUUUUGUAGUUCUUUGUCUCCUGAGCUGGGCAGAGUUCAUCACCGCAAAGUAAGAAUAAUCAGGAUGAGGUGCCUGGGAAGAACCUUGAGAAGAGUGGCUCAUUCUACCUGUGGGCUUCAGGUAAAACUCCCCAAAACAAGUCAUGAAAGGCAACUGAAGAACUGUUCCAGAAUAAAGGAACUUGUGAGGCAUCACAACUAAAUGCAACAUGGAACCUGGAUGAAAACAUUUUUUUGCUUUAAGAGACAUUAUUGGGACAAUAGGAGAAAUUUGAAUAAGAUCUGCAGGUUAAAUAUUAGUAUCGUAUCAGUUUUAAUUUCUCAAUUUUUGUAAUAUUACUGUGGUUCAGCAGGAAAAAUGUCCUUUGUUUUAGGAAGUACACAGGAUUUAGGGAUAAAUGAGAAUUGUGUCUAUAACUUACCCUUACAAUUCUGACAAAAUAUACACAUAUGUAUAUAGACAGAGAAAAUGAUAAAGCAAAUGUGGUAAAGUGUUAACAUUGGGGAAUAUGAGUGAAGGAAUUCUUUAUACUAUUCUUUGCACCUUUUAAAAAGUUUUUUAAAAGCAUGAGGACUUUUCUUUUUUUUAAAGAUUGGCACCUGAGCUAAUAUCUAUUGCCAAUCUUUUCUUCUUCUUCUUCUUCUUCUUCCCAAAUCCACCCAGUACAUAGUUGUAUAUUUUAGUUGUGGGUCCUUCUAAGUUGUGGCAUGUGGGAUGCCGCCUCAGCAUGGCCUGACGAGCGGUGCCGUGUCCUCGCCCAGGAUCCGAACUGGCAAAACCCUGGGCUGCCAAAGCUGAGGGAGCAAACUUAACCACUCCGUCUGGGGCCAGUCCCAAAAGUAUCGGAGGACUUUUUGCUGCCACCACCAUUUGGUGUUUAACAAAGCUCUGUCUCGUGACUUUUUAUGCUAACCUAAUCCUCCAUACUGUAGAAUGAACCCAUUUGUCCUUUCCUUAGUGAAAGAAGGAGAACAAAAGGUCACCAUUUUUUGUAUAACAAUCCUUUCAUAUACUUUAAGGUUGUUCUUAACUUUCCUAGACUAAAUUACUGCAAGUUCUUUAAAGCUUUCCUUGUCAAUCUUACUUUCCUGCUCUUUACUUAUCUUCAUUACCUUCCUUGGAUCCUUUUGCUCGCAUCACUUUUAGAGAGCAGCUCUUGAACUGGACAAAAGACAAAUGUGUCCUCUGUGGCCUGUCCGUUGACACAAUGGUACCUAUAUGUCUUCUAAUUUGUCGUGAAGUUCCCUUUUUAAGACUAUGGUAGCAGGACUACCUUUACUGGCUCCAGUUUUGUUUGAGAUCUCUAGAUCUUUCUUGGAGUUCUCGCUUGCACAUACUCAGUUGUUCUCUUGUACCUGUAAAAAAAGAGCCUUCAAAAGUGAAUCAAAGUAUGAAAAUGGUACCGAAUUAGUGGUGAUGGUCACAUAAACACGAAUAUACUAAAAACCACUAAAGUGUACAUUUUAAAAGGGUGAAUAUUAUGGUAUGUGAAUUAUAUCUCAGUUUUUAAAAAUGCUAACCAAAGUUAAAAGCCUGUUCUGAGGCUAUCACAACCAUUGGUAUUUCUUAGUUAUUUGUAUUAGGUGCACUUGUAAAAGACAUCAUGUUUUAUGCUCCUUGGACAAGUGCAACCUCUGAAGUGGAGAGGUAGGGGGAAGUGAUGGUCAGGAUAACUAAAUACAUUAUAAUUUUCUCUGAAUUACUCUGUGCAUUACACACUUAACCAAAUUACUGGUCUGAACAUUUAUUAUAGCAAUUAUUAUAGAUGGUCUGUGUGGAAAAAGUAUGGGUUUAAUAAUUGGCCCUGCCAUUUGCUGCCUUGUGGCCUUGGGCGUGUUCCUUACCCUCACAAGACUCAGUUUCUCACCUGUAAAAAUGGGGAUGAUGAUAACGUACACUUCAUAGGUUUUAAGGGGAGAGGAAGUGUGUAAAGAUGCGUCUUCUUUAAAGAUAACAAACCUGAGAACCAGGAAGAUUACUACUCAAGAGGCAUCUCCAAGUGACGAGGGCUCUCUUCAGACAACAACCACAAAGGCUGGUAACCCUCCAACCUUAGCUUAGUCUAAAGACACCAUCAAGGCAGUCUGGAAUAUUUAAACAUGACUUUACUCACUGCCAUGUCAUGGGGAAAUACACAGAAAAAUUACGCAUAUGGAAAUGCUCCAUGAAUCUGCACAAGAUAUGCCUUCUUCUUGGGGACCACAGAACUGAUUUAACUGGGCAUCCAGGGAAAUGCCACCUGAGGAAUUCCUCCCUCCUUGUUCCUGGCCUCAUGCCCUUUGCUCAGGAGUGCAUCCCUGCCUCUCCCAAAAUCCAGUCAGAGAGGGGAGCACAGCAGCAAACCUUGUCUUUCAUCUCAGGAUGGGUUGACAGGAGUGAGUGUUUAAAGAAAGAUUUUAAGAAGGAAAAGAAGUUUUGUUUCUCUUAUUUCUAUUUCCUAAGUUCCCCUGUUUUCCUGUAGCGUGCCUGCUCAUUCACCCAUUUGGCUGAUAAAGGACCAAUUUUCUUAUUCUGCCAAAAGACCAGGAAAUUGUAGCCAUGCUUUCUGUUUGAAGUAUUUAAAGUGUUAUGAAGUUGAGAUAGUAUACUUGGUGGAAACGGUCAUUUGGAUACAGUGAAGACAAUUUUUAUGAUAAGCCUGUAUCUCUUCCAUUUGCAUGUCACUGCAUUCUCACGUAUAGAUUUCUAAGUGAUUAUAAAAUCUAUACAAAGUGUUGGAACUGAUGGAUACAUUCAGUCUUUAUCUAAAAUACUUAUUGACACCAUAGUAUGUACCAGGCAAGGAAGGUGUUAGGCACUGGAAACACAACAGGAAAUAAACACAAGCAUGGAUCCUUGCCCUUAUUAGGGGACACAGAUAAUCACAAAAACAAAUGUAUCAAUACAAACAGUGAUAAGUGUUCUAACGUUACACAGUGCUCUGGGAUUGCACAACAAGAGUACUGAACAGCACCAGGGAGAUCAGGAAGAGUUCAAUGAGCAGUGGCAUGUGAAUUAAAAUCUGCACGUAGAGGUCAAAUAAGCAAAGAGGUAGGAACAGGUAAGGAAUACGGAAAGAACCUUCUCAGCAGCAGAUGUGCAAAGGUCCAUGGUGGGAAGGCACUUGGCAGUGGAAAUAACUGAGGAAUGGCCAAAGAUUGAAGAUGCUUGAGCAGGAGAAGUGAGAUCUCAAGAAUCCGCCUUGACUUCUCCUAAUGUCCAGUUGGUCACCAAGUCCCUUGGAGUUUUCCCCAGGGAUAACAUGCUUGGAUCACUCCUCCUCCAUUCCUCAGGUGACCCCUCUUGCACAGAACUAUAGAAUCUUUCCAAUGGCUGCAACUGCCUACCAUUGUAUAUACUAACCUUUCCCAUGCAUCCAUUUGGUGGUUUCUAGGAAUACUGGAUUUCACAGUUCUUUAAAAUUUAACCAAAAAGGAGGGAAGGGUAUAGAAAGGAUUUCAAUCUCUAAUUUUGCUAAGAAGGAUACGUAAAAACAAAACAAAACCAAUUACCAUUUACUGUCUCUUUCAUUUCAUAAAAGAAGGCUAUUUUAGCAUUGAAAAGAAAGGUAGACUAAUCUCAGAAAAAAGGACACUUUUAUAUUAUAUGGAUCAGCUUUAUUAAACAUUUGCCACAUUGUAGUUUGUCUCAUUCCACUGCACAUUGGAGAAAAUCAUGUACCAGGAUUUGGGAGCCAAUUCCAAAAAUUGUUAAUUUGGUGCUCAAUUGAUCAAUUAUCAAACCAAUUAUCAAUAUUUUUCUAAAAUUCACUUCUGUUUUUAAAGUUAAUUUAUAUUUAUUUAAAUCAAAGUAAUACAAAUUUAUCACACUUUACAAAUCUAAUAGUUCUACAUGAUUUAUAAUAAAGAAACCUACAAUCACCUGUCUCUCCUCCCCCGAACUCUGAUUCCUGUUUCCCAGAGGCAGCUACUAUCCACUUUCAGCUGCUUUUCUGUUCUUGUAAUUACCACCUUAUUUGUAAAUAACAUGUCCUUACUUAUAUUAAAAAUUACCUUUUUUUAAGUAUAAAAGCCUACUUUAAUCUUGUUGCUUCCCUCCUCAAACUGAAUUGGAGCUAUGGAAUAAAAUACAUACUCUAGCUCAAAUCUAAAUCUAUCUAUGGUGCUUCCCAGAUAGUUAAGCCCUCAGUGAUUACCACUACAGACUAUAUACUUAAAACACUGUCCUGUAUUAUUUAUUUCAAGUAGGCAAUGAGUUUUAUUUCUUAAAAUUCUAGACUCUCCCAACUAAUGGUCACUUUAUGGCUGCUUUCAUUCCCAUUGUUGUAAUCUCCUAUGUGUACUUUCAAAACCAGUGGAACUCGUUCAUGUCAGAGCUUGGGAAGGGGCUAGGAGAGGGUAUCCACCAAUUAUGCCAGCCUUAGAGGGAAGAAUAAACACUUCUGAAAUAGAAGAACUGCUCUCCGUAAUAGACAUCCCUUUCUUGUCCAAAUCUGUAUCCCUGCUUUAGCUGGUAGAGGAAAUAAUCUGAUUUUAAUCAGAAUCCAUUUUUGCAAACAAGAUUUUGAAUCAGAUCACUCUGAAAGGCAACAUAAAAGACCACUAGCACUUAUUCUCUCUGAGGAGUGGGUCCACGGAGUUGAUGGGGGGAGAGCAGAAAGGAGAUCUUUCUCUUUACAUACAUAAAUAACAAUAAUAAAAUAGUUUUUAUUUAUUGAAUCGACGCUAUAUACCAAGCACCAUUCAAAGCCCUUGCAAGUAUUGUCUCAUUUAAUUCUUACAACAGCCAAAUGAUGUAAAAGUAGUUUUUUACCUUACUUUAAAACUGAGGAAACUGGCAAUUAAGAAUAACUUGGUAGCAAUGACAUGGGUGGCACUGACGGAGCUGGGACUUAUAUCUAGGAAGUCUGACUCCAGAAACUAUGCUUUUAGCCACUGCAUUAUACUGAACAUGAACCACUUUUAUACUUUAGAAAAUCUUAUUAAUAGACUAAAAUAGGGCAGACUGUCACAGAGUAAAACAUUUCUCCCUAUGAGAGCUGGGCUACAAGACAUACAUAUGACCAAUAAUACACCACAAAAACAGUAUUACAGCUUAAAUUUUAUAAAAUAACCUGCAUUUUAUAUCUUAGCUUGUUUUAAGAUAACCACAAUUUAUGAAGUAUUUUUGAGAUCCCUUAAAGAGGUAACAUUGUACAAUAGUUAUAAAUAGCAUGGUAGUUAAAAUAUGUAUUAAAUAUGUCAUCAAAGCUUACUGUUUUCAUAUUUGGAAGAGACUUUUGUAAAUUUUAGUCCAAUUCCUUUGUUUCACAAGAGGCCAAGGAAGUUAAGUGACUUGCCUAACCAAGGUGACACAGCUAAUUGGCGGCAACACUCUACUCAGAGCUCAAGUCUCCUGGCUCCCAGCCCAGUGCUCUCCCCCUGUUGUGUCCAUGACUACCCAGACCGUGUGCUCCCUCUGAGAAUAUGACAGGCUUUCUAGAUGGGACUGGGAGGUGCCUGUGUAGCUGGCUUUGAUUAAAAUGAUGUCUCUUGUUAAAGUUUUGGUAGGAGAAAGACAUCCUGGUUGAGAGAUCUUCUUUGCAGCUUAGGGGAUGGAAAGAGGACUUGGAUGUCCGACUCUGAUGCUGACACACCUCUUCUUGCUAUCCUGGAGUCUGCUUUUAGGGCUACCACAUGACACAUUGAGAAUUUAGAAGAGUUUUCGUGGGGGGACAGGAGGUGGGAGGUGGAAUUUAGAUGAGCCAUUCUUUUUUAAAAAACUGUCCAAAGAAAUUUUAAUGGAUACAUUCUUUUGAUUUUGGUAAAUCUCUCUGUAAAAGACACAGAUAUGCAGGACAUGAUCUCUGCUGUUGAGGAGCUUGAAAUCCAAUAAAAGGCAAAGCUCAAAGAACUUGGCUGCCUGAUGUGGUGUGAACGCCUUAAGAACAUGCCCUUAGGGGCCGGCCCAGUGGCGCAGUUAAGUGUGUACGUUAUGCUUUGGCAGCCUGGGGUUCGCCAGUUCAGAUCCCAGGUGCGGACAUGGCACUGCUUGGCAUGCCAUGCUGUGGUAGGUGUCCCACAUAUAAAGUAGAGGAGGAUGGGCAUGGAUAUUAGCUCAGGGC